UACGUAGGGUGCGAGCGUUGUCCGGAAUUAUUGGGCGUAAAGAGUUCGUAGGCGGUCUGUCGCGUCGAUCGUGAAAACUUGGGGCUUAACCCUGAGCUUGCGGUCGAUACGGGCAUGACUGGAGUUCGGCAGGGGAGACUGGAAUUCCUGGUGUAGCGGUGAAAUGCGCAGAUAUCAGGAGGAACACCGGUGGCGAAGGCGGGUCUCUGGGCCGAUACUGACGCUGAGGAGCGAAAGCGUGGGGAGCGAACAGG
rnacentral:rRNA from 1 species